CACCUACCUUGUAUGGAAACACUACAGGGCGCGAUCCCACGGCGAGGUGAACUAGAGUCAUGCGCAAUUACGAACGAAAGAAUUGAUAUUGCACUAAUAAGCAUAGGACAGUGACGAUCAGUCGGCGCUACCUAUAGCCUACUUUUGAGUUUACAUUUUCAGAGACCGCAUAUGCACGUCAUCAGGGCAUUGGAUACUUCUGUUUAGUUCUAACAUAAGUUUCACACCUCUAUGUUACUCAGACAGAAUGGGAUGUUCCUCGAGUACCAAAACUACAGCGCAGGAUACAACUCGACCGAGCAUUAAACCAGAGGAAAGCAAUGGCGCAAGCAAUACAGGUACAGCCAAUGAGAAUAAAACCGUUGCUGAAGACAGUGAGACCCUUCCGGACCAAACCAAACCAGAGGGCUCUCCACAGGCUGUAGAUGAACCUGCAGCAGCAGCACCACCUGCAGAGGGGAACACCACACCAGCUCUGGCAGCAGUGGAGGGGGCACCAGACACAGCAACCCUUUCGCCAACGCCUGCUCCUGUAGCGGGGGUCUCAGGUACGACAGAGCCGUCCGCUGAAGCCCCUGCAGCCCCCGUACAGCCAGACAGCACCCCAGAGGCACCUGCAGCCCCCGUACAGCCAGACAGCACCCCAGAGCCAUCUGCAGCCCAGAACUAAGCCCCCAGUGAGUGAAACUCAAUACCAACUUAUGGAUGAAGAAUUCAACACUGUGUGUGUGUUGAACUUUGAGAGGUUGGGAAAUAGAGAGACAGAGAUGACACACCGACAUGGACUGUACCUGUUGCCAAGAUGCAGACCUUCUGGCCACUCAGACCAGGUACUGUCAGUCCACCACAUGCCUCUAUGUAAAGAGGGGUGGGGAGGAUUCCAAGAGGAAUCAGGCUUCUAAAGUGACAUUUCUGAGUUUUCUUCACUUCCUUGUCUGUUUUUGAAUUGUUCUAAUUGUCCUAUACUGCAAUUUUUCUGCAUUUAGUGGUAAAUAUUAUUUCUUUACUUUAGAGUCAUUUAAAAGCUUGGCAUUGAUAUACAAUAUCACGUUCUGGUAUGUAGAUUAUACUGCCUCAUAAGGGUGUGUAUAAUUGUAAUACUUCUAUCAUACAUCCAUCAGUACAUCUCUUUGUGAAAAUCACAAAGCCAAAACAAUAUUGGAUCUAAUAAUAUAUAUAUGUAGCUGACUUUGAACAAUCAUGUCUUUCAGAUUAAGAGUAAGGUGGAAAUGUUUCAAGAACUUUGUACAGUUCAGUUAAAUAUCUUAACUAAUUUUAUCAAUGACGUGUUUCUGAUUCCUUGUUCUGCAUCAGUAGAGAGUGCAUGUCACCGACAUUCUUCUGUAAUGUACCUUGUGUUUUAAAAAAAGAAUAAGAAAGGGGAAAUAGCAAAUCUUUAUGUUAUUAUCUUGCAAACAUUACAUUGCCACAUUAACUAAUAAAUAUCAAUCCUAUAAACCUUAAUAUUCAAAUAGGUUCAUUGGUUCGACUGUUUCCAUGUAAAGAGGGUAAUUUUACCCAAAUGUAUUUGAUGCAGGAAGAGAU